GAGAGCAGCUGCGAUGGAGACUGAAACCGGAUCUUGAGGAGGUGACUGUGUACCAGAGAGCAACUGUCAAUACACUUGCCUGUCCCAGGAUUUGCGAACAAAAUCUCUUCAGCAGCUUCUAAUUGCGCAGUGCGGCAAUACAGACACAUCAGCUUCUUUAACAAAUAAGCUUGAAAACCUUGGACACUGUGUUAGAUUACCGGAG